rnacentral:tRNA from 1 species
GGGACUGUGGCUUAGUGGUAGAGUGCUUGCCCAGUAUGCAUGAAGCCCUGGGUUCGAUUCCUCAGUACCA